GGUCUUAAGAGAGUUGGACACAUUCAAAACACAAUAUGUGAUUAAGAAGAUUAAAGAUUAAUACUUAUUGAUGGAUUACUAUGUGCCAAACUUCCAACCAAAUCCUGACAACAAUUCCUUAAGAUGUGGAAACUGCAGUUCACUGAGGUUGACAUUUCCGGGUUCAUACAACAAGGAUGGGCAUGAUUGUGAGGCCUCCCCACCCACAUGGAAUGGUGAGUCAAUUAAACCUCUUUAUAAAUUACCCGGUCUUGGGUAUGUCUUUAUUAGCAGUGUGAGAACAAACUAAUACACCCUGUACCCCAAAAAUUUUUUAAAAAGGAAAAAAAAGAAAAUUCAUAGUAAAACUAAGAUUUUAUGAUAUUGUAUUUGACAGAUGACAAACUUUUUGAAUACAAACAAAUGAAAAUUAAUAAGCUAAUUAUAAAUUAGCAAUUUUCCUUAUUAAAGUAAACUCAUUAGGGUCUUGACAUGACAACAUUUAGAUGAAUCCAUUGUUGGUGAUUGAUGAUUACUCUAAUUUCCUAAAGACUUGGAAUUGAAAGAUCCUCACAGAAAUCAGUAAGAAUGCAUUUUUUAAAGGUAAUUUUACUUAUUCAGUUUUGGUACUCUUCCAUUUGGGUCUAUGUUAGCCAGGGGUCUGAGUCAGUCUAUAAAGCAUCAUGUGAACACGGCCGGUCAGCUCUCAGAAAGCAGUUUCACAGUGAAGAUCUAACUAAAAUAUCCCCAUCACAUUUUCCUGCUGCUGAGUUCACAAAGAGAGCACAGAGGCAAAUGUGGGUUUUCCUUUAGUUUACAUUUUCAGCCUUCCAUCAAUAACUCUCAGCCAUCCUUGUCAGGGACCUACGCUGAAGCUGUGAUUUCAUAAAUUGCAUAAAAGGAUUCAUUAAUGCUGAAGUUUAAUAUGAAAAUCAACAUAUCACAGGAAACAUUCUAGAUUUAGUAGGUGGUGUCACUUACAAUUUAGUGGAAUGCCAAAUCAUAUGUUUUAUUGGAGAUAUACUUUAUUUUUUAUAUUAGGCAAGAUCUGUCCAUCUGUUAUUCUGGUUUUUAAACUUGCUCUGAAAUAAUAACUGAUGGGUAAUUUCUAAUUUUCAAGGAACUUUAUUAUUACAUCGAGUGCUCACAACUUCCCUAUGAAAUAACUUGGAAAAACAUUAUUAUCCCCACCAUUGUCACUUGCCCUUGGUGGCUCAGCUGUUUAGCUGGCAUUAGAAUCCAGUCUCCUGAUUUUUUAUCCAUUGAUCUUUUUUUCUCCAUCAUUGUAACUUUCUUACAAUCCUGAAAUAUGUGUGGAUUAUCCCUCACCUAACUCAUUUAUGUUAAAAUAUUGUCACUAUCAUCUUUAUUUUCCUGUACUGUCUCCGUAAGAACUGAAUCACCACAUAAAUCCCCAUUUCUAGGCAUAAUAUCUCUUUAGUGUUGCUAUAAAUUAUUCAAUAGAUUUAUCCUGCUUCUCAAAGGCUGAUGAGCUUCACCUUGGAGAUCAUCUCCCCACUGCAUGCUAUUAUUGUUACCCCACUGGAACAAGUCUGCAUGAAAAAUCCCUUAUAAAAUCUUUAUAAUCUGAAAUUGCUAUAAAUUACCCCAUUCAGGAAGGAGAAAAUAAUAAAACAUAUCCACACCAUACCCAGAUUUUUGAAAUGGUUGAGCCAACUUUACUACUCUACCAUGGAAGAAAUCCAAAGAUCAACAAACCCAGGCCCUCUGUAAGUCUCUUCAUUAUUAUGUCUCUGCUAUCACAAAGUACUUUAUCUGGCAUCAAAAUUACAUUAAUACUCU